ensembl:lncRNA novel transcript
AUGUUCCUUCUUCUGGUGCUUCUCACUGGACUUGGUGGGAUGCAUGCAGACCUCAAUCCUCAUAAAAUCUUCCUACAGACCACAAUUCCAGAGAAGAUUUCAUCAUCGGAUGCAAAAACAGAUCCAGAACAUAAUGUUAUUUACAUGAUUACCAUAGGGAAAGCCAUAUUUUGUCCAUCUCAAAAAGCAAUCAAUUUUAUCUUCAGCUUCUGUUAUUAAUUCUUAUGACGAAAAUGACAUCCGUCAUUCCAAACCUCUGCUAGUUCAGAUGGAUUGCAUUUAUAAUGGAUAUGUUGCGGGUAUUCCAAAUUCUCUUGUGACUCUCAGCGUAUGUUCAGGACUCAGGGGAACAAUGCAGCUGAAAAACAUCUCAUAUGGAAUUGAACCGAUGGAGGCUGUUAUCAGGAUUUAUACACAAGAUUUAUGAAGAAAAAUAUGCUGACACUAAUAUUCUCUUAGAAGAAAAUGACACUUAUACUUGGUUUAAUUCAGAGUAUCAAGUCAGAAAAAGUUCAGAA